GCUAGUUAAUAUAACUGUAAAACUCACUUUGCAUUCCUUCUUCUUCCUCAGGGCUUUGUGGUGGCUCUGCUCUACUGUUUCCUAAAUGGAGAAGUGCAGGCAGAGCUGAAGAAGCAUCUAUGGAAGUGGCAGAUCCAGGGUUAUCUGCGCUAUAGUAGGAGAAGACGUACCCUCUUCACAGAGAGCUCCACUGUCACACAGAUCUCUGUUCUGGAGAAGUCCUCCCCCAAGGAGCUGCCCUGCAUCAGCGACACACACAUACUCACACACAUCGACAAACACACACUCACACACACUUCUGUCCCGAGCUGUACUGACACACAAACACUCACACACACUGACACACAAACACUCACACACAGCUCUGUCUCAAUCUGUGACGACACAAACACUCUAACACACAACACCGACUCACUCACACACAACUCAACAGUCUGAGAGAACAAAAAAUCCCGCUAUCUCUCUCUCUUCCCAAUCCUCCCUCUUCUUUUCUUCCUCCCCUCUCUCAAGGAUAGACUACACAUUGACUCUGCAGUGCCCAAAUCUCAGAUAGGCCUCUCAGUCUAGAGAGAUCUAAAUGUUGUUACAUAGACUGAGCUGUCUGUUGUGUUGACUCACUGGCUUGGCUGUGUGGCUCCAUAGACUGAGCUGUCUGUUGUGUUGACUCACUGGCUUGGCUGUGUGGCUCCAUAGACUGAGGAAGAGUAAUACAAAAAAAAGCAAAUUAUCGCAAUGGCCACAGAUUGACAAGAUUGCCAAAUGAAGCUAACUUUAUAGUGUCUACAAUAUACUGUAUCUUCCAUAGUACAAGUAAAUACACAGCCUUGUCUGUCAGGGCUUUCUAAAUGGACUGUGCUGUGUUUGGGUGGGUUGCUGCUAUUGUUGCCAGACAUGGACUUGCUGGCUGUGUGGUCUGGACACUAGACACUAGUGGACUCUAGUGGAUGCUAGUGGACUCCAGUGGACUGCGCUUGUGUCCAUAGUAGAAAUGGACUGGCCCCGGUGUGUUAGAAAUGCAGAGUAGUGAUAAAUUGAACAUAUUGAUUGAGAGGAAGAGGUUCAACUGACCUCUCUCCCCUUAUCAACCUGAAGGAAAAGGUUCAACUGACCUCUCUCCCCUCAUCAACCUGAAGGAGGAAGAGGUUCAACUGACCUCUCACCUCUCCUAUCAACCUGAAGGAAGAGGUUCAACUGAUCUCUCUCAUCAACCUGAAGGAAGGAAAAGGUUCAACUGACCUCUCUCCCCUCAUCAACCUGAAGGGAAGAGGUUCAACUGACCUCUCUCCCCUCAUCAACCUGAAGGAAGAGGUUCAACUGACCUCUUCACCUCUCAUCAACCUGAAGGACGGGUUCAACUGACCUCUCUCCCUCAUCAACCUGAAGGAAGAGGUUCAAACUGACCUCUCACCUCUCAUCAACCUGAAGGACGAGGUUCAACUGACCUCUCUCCCCUCAUCAACCUGAAGGAAGAGGUUCAACUGACCUCUCUCCCUCAUCACCUGAAGGACGAGGUUCAACUGACCUCUCUCCCCUCAUCAACCUGAAGGAAGAGGUUCAACUGACCUCUCUCCCCUCAUCAACCUGAAGGAGAGAGUUCAACUGGACCUCUAUCCCCUCAUCAACCUGAAGGAAGAGGUUCAACUGACCUCUCUCAUCAACCUGAAGGAAGAGGUUCAACUGACCUCUAUCCCCUCAUCAACCUGAAGGAAGAGGUUCAUCUGACCUCUAUCCCCUCAUCAACCUGAAGGAAGAGGUUCAAUUGACCUCUCACCUCUCAUCAACCUGAGAAGAGUUCAACUGACCUCUCUCCCCUAUCCUGAAUGAGAGGGUUCAACUGAUCUCUCUCAUCAACCUGAAGGAAGAGGUUCAACUGACCUCUAUCCCCUCAUCACCCUGAAGGAAGAGUUCAACUGACCUCUCCCUCUCAUCAACCUGAAGGAAGAGGUUCAACUGACCUCUAUCCCUCAUCAACCUGAAGGAAGAGGUUUCAAUGACCUCUCACCUCUCAUCAACCUGUAGGAAGAGGUUCAACUGACCUCUACCCCCUCAUCAACCUGAAGGAAGAGGUUCAACUGACCUCUCACCUCUCAUCAACCUGAAGGAAGAGGUUCAACUGACCUCAUCCCACUCAACCUGAAGGAAGAGGUUCAAUGACCUCUCACCUCUCAUCAAC
rnacentral:lncRNA from 1 species